GGAAGCCUUAGUGUGCAGGGAUGCAAUGUAUAUCCAGGUUUCUUUCUGGCAUGUGUCUGGGAUGCUUUGAAAUUACAUACUUGUGGAUCCAAGACUGCGGAGUACACCUGCCCUGUUGUCUUGAUGUGGCCACUAUUUAUUUAUUCAUUUAAAGCAGUUUGGAUCAGUAAACCUGCCAGUGAAAAUCAAGAAGGAAUAAGAGAUCAAUCUAAUUUAUGUGACAGAAUCUGGGCAGAAUCCAAUGUGUGGGAAUGCAAAGGCUCUGUAAGCAGAAGAAACAAAAAGAACAAACAAGACUUGGCAGUACUUUGAAGUGGAUUUUCUGUUGAAAAGCCCUUAGUAAACUGAAGAUGUGGUAAAAACCAUUACAUGGAGGUUACC
rnacentral:lncRNA from 1 species